GACGAACGCUGGCGGCGUGCUUAACACAUUCAAGUCGAACGGAAAGGCCCUGCUUUUGUGGGGUGCUCGAGUGGCGAACGGGUGAGUAACACGUGAGUAACCUGCCCUUGACUUUGGUAUAACUUCAGGAAACUGGGGCUAAUACCGGAUAGGAGCUCCUGCUGCAUGGUGGGGGUUGGAAAGUUUCGGCGGUUGGGGAUGGACUCGCGGCUUAUCAGCUUGUUGGUGGGGUAGUGGCUUACCAAGGCUUUGACGGGUAGCCGGCCUGAGAGGGUGACCGGCCACAUUGGGACUGAGAUACGGCCCAGACUCAUACGGGAGGCAGCAGUGGGGAAUAUUGCACAAUGGGCGGAAGCCUGAUGCAGCAACGCCGCGUGCGGGAUGACGGCCUUCGGGUUGUAAACCGCUUUCGCCUGUGACGAAGCGUGAGUGACGGUAAUGGGUAAAGAAGCAACGGCUAACUACGUG
rnacentral:rRNA from 1 species